UACGUAGGGUGCGAGCGUUGUCCGGAAUUAUUGGGCGUAAAGAGCUCGUAGGCGGUGUGUCACGUCGGCCGUGAAAACCUGCAGCUUAACUGUGGGCGUGCGGUCGAUACGGGCAUCACUGGAGUUCGGCAGGGGAGACUGGAAUUCCUGGUGUAGCGGUGAAAUGCGCAGAUAUCAGGAGGAACACCGGUGGCGAAGGCGGGUCUCUGGGCCGAUACUGACGCUGAGGAGCAAAAGCGUGGGGAGCAAACAGG
rnacentral:rRNA from 1 species